AGCUGGCACCUCCGGUGUCCGCGUUGUAAUCUCGAGACGUGUUUUCCGUGCGGCUCUAUGGACAAGUCCCUUGGAAUAGGGCAUCGUAGAGGGUGAGAAUCCCGUACUUGCCAUGGAAGAACCGUGCUUUGCGAUACACGCUCUAAGAGUCGAGUUGUUUGGGAUUGCAGCUCAAAAUGGGUGGUAGACUCCAUCUAAAGCUAAAUAUCGGGGAGAGACCGAUAGCGAACAAGUACCGUGAGGGAAAGAUGAAAAGCACUUUGGAAAGAGAGUUAAAAGUACGUGAAAUUGUCGAAAGGGAAGCACUUGAAGUCAGCCAUGCUGCUUGAGACUCAGCCUGGCCUUUGGGCUUGGUGUAUUUCUCGGUGGCAAGCCAGCAUUGGUUUGGGUCGUCGGAGAAGCGCAUAGGGAAUGUAGCGUCCCCGGACGUGUUAUAGCCUUAUGCAGGAUACGACGACCUGGAUCAAGGAACGCAGUGUGCCCUCUGGGC
rnacentral:rRNA from 1 species